rnacentral:rRNA from 1 species
UUAGGAAUAUUGGACAAUGGGCGCAAGCCUGAUCCAGCCAUGCCGCGUGAGUGAUGAAGGCCUUCGGGUUGUAAAGCUCUUUAGCCGAUGAAUAUAAUGACUGUAGUCGGAAAAUAAGCCCCGGCUAACUUCGUGCCAGCAGCCGCGGUAAUACGAGGGGGGCGAGCGUUGUUCGGAAUCACUGGGCGUAAAGCGUGCGUAGGCGGCUUUGAAAGUUAGGAGUGAAAGCCCCAGGCUCAACCUGGGAAUU